rnacentral:rRNA from 1 species
AUUGAACGCUGGCGGCAGGCUUAUCACAUGCAAGUCGAGCGGAGCGAGGGUGCUUGCACCUUAGCUUAGCGGCGGACGGGUGAGUAAUGCUUAGGAAUCUGCCUAUUAGUGGGGGACAACAUUCCGAAAGGAAUGCUAAUACCGCAUACGCCCUACGGGGGAAAGCAGGGGAUCUUCGGACCUUGCGCUAAUAGAUGAGCCUAAGUCGGAUUAGCUAGUUGGUGGGGUAAAGGCCUACCAAGGCGACGAUCUGUAGCGGGUCUGAGAGGAUGAUCCGCCACACUGGGACUGAGACACGGCCCAGACGCCUACGGGAGGCAGCAGUGGGGAAUAUUGGACAAUGGGCGGAAGCCUGAUCCAGCCAUGCCGCGUGUGUGAAGAAGGCCUUUUGGUUGUAAAGCACUUUAAGCGAGGAGGAGGCUACUUAGAUUAAUACUCUGGGAUAGUGGACGUUACUCGCAGAAUAAGCACCGGCUAACUCUGUGCCAGCAGCCGCCGUAACAC